CAGAGUGGCUGCAUUCUCCACCGGCUGGGCUAACACUUCGGAUAGUGGAGCCAUCUUCAAGCAAUUACAGUAUCCCUUGGAGAAACUAUUGUUCCUGGCAUCAUCAACCCACAUACACCAGUGGAGUCACCUCCAGUCCCUGCAUCCAGACGUUUAUUCCUGGAGCGGCUAAAGGAAGUUCUUCAGCUAAGUUGCAACGGCAAGGCAGAAGACAAUUAGAAGAAAACCAAGCAAGAGACCUGGGUGAAGGGCAGGAAUGACAUCUGCCUAUCUUCCCAUCAUUCCUACAUCUAGCCACAUGG